AGUCAAUAGAUACCCUGGUAGUCCACGCCGUAAACGAUGAGUACUAGGUGUAGGAGGUAUCGACUCCUUCUGUGCCGCAGUUAACACAAUAAGUACUCCGCCUGGGAAGUACGGUCGCAAGAUUAAAACUCAAAGGAAUUGACGGGGGCCCGCACAAGCAGCGGAGCAUGUGGUUUAAUUCGAAGCAACGCGAAGAACCUUACCUAGACUUGACAUCUCCUGAAUAGUGUAGAGAUACAUGAAGCCCUUCGGGGCAGGAAGACAGGUGGUGCAUGGUUGUCGUCAGCUCGUGUCGUGAGAUGUUGGGUUAAGUCCCGCAACGAGCGCAACCCUUAUUACUAGUUGCUACCAUUAAGUUGAGCACUCUAGUGAGACUGCCCGGGGUUAACC
rnacentral:rRNA from 1 species